GCGCCUGCGCUAAACCGACUUCUCGGCGCCAUUUUGUCUCGGCAGCGGUGGCCGCAGCUCUAUCGCAUUUUAUGUUUCUGGAGUAAAGGGAGCGGAGUCUUUAACAGGUAGAUUUAUUUUAGUGCGGCAUCCAUGCACUAUUUCCUCCAGGACGGCAUCUAGUGAAGCUCGGAGGAGCCGCAGAAGUGUCUAAAAGGUCAGUUGGAGUCUGUGGUUGUCCGGCUGACGGGGGGAUGGCGCAGCUCGAGCGACAGCGGCACCGGAAGUGAAGGGACCGUAGGCAGCCAUGGUAAAUUGUGCUGAAGAAAACAGGACAUCUCAGUGACAUAUCCCAAAGUGUUACUGAGAAUAAGACUGAUUUUGUGGGAAAGUGAAGCAAGGUGUUCCACUUUUAAAAGACCUGGAUCUGAUAUCUGUGUUGAAAAUUCUUUUUCUGGUCCCUUUAUGAAUGAUACAGAUGAAAGUAAACAGAUGAUCUUAUCAGAUAAGUGCUUUUAUAGUCGAAAUAUAUUUUAUUAUUUCAAAUCUCUAAACCAAAACUUUAUUCUUUAAAAAAAAUUUUUUAGGUACCAGUAUCAAGAUGAUUUACAGCAGUAGGAUACUCAGUCUUUUCUUAAAAUAAAUUUUGUUGUCAUGUCAAAGUAAAA